rnacentral:snoRNA from 1 species
AAACAAUGAUGUUUUAUUCCUAUUCCAUUUCUUAAUACUAAAUGUGGAAAAUUCCAAGCUGAGUUU